rnacentral:ncRNA from 1 species
AUACUCCUGGGUGACCGAUAGCGAAGUAGUACCGUGAGGGAAAGGUGAAAAGAACCCCCAGUGGGUAGUGAAAUAGAACGUGAAACCGUGCUGAGCUCCCAAGCAGUGGGAGGGGAAAGUGAUCUCUGACCGCGUGCCUGUUGAAGAAAGAGCCGGCGACUCAUAGGCAGUGGCUUGGUUAAGGGAACGGAACCCACCGGAGCCGUAGCGAAAGCGAGUCUUAAUAGGGCGAUUGUCACUGCUUAUGGACCCGAACCUGGGUGAUCUAUCCAUGACCAGGAUGAAGCUUGGAUGAAA